rnacentral:rRNA from 1 species
CCUACGGGUGGCAGCAGUGAGGAAUAUUGGUCAAUGGGCGCGAGCCUGAACCAGCCAAGUAGCGUGAAGGAUGACUGCCAUACGGGUUGUAAACUUCUUUUAUAAAGGAAUAAAGUGAGGCACGUGUGCCUUUUUGUAUGUACUUUAUGAAUAAGGAUCGGCUAACUCCGUGCCAGCAGCCGCGGUAAUACGGAGGAGCCGAGCGUUAUCCGGAUUUAUUGGGUUUCAAGGGAGCGUAGAUGGGUUGUAAAGUCCGUUGUGAAAGUUUGCGGCUCAACCGUAAAAUUGCAAUUGAUACUGGCAGUCUUUCUUACCGUUGAGGUAGGCGGACUUCGUGGUGUAGCGGU